rnacentral:rRNA from 1 species
UGGGGAAUAUUGCACAAUGGGCGCAAGCCUGAUGCAGCCAUGCCGCGUGUAUGAAGAAGGCCUUCGGGUUGUAAAGUACUUUCAGCGGGGAGGAAGGGAGUAAAGUUAAUACCUUUGCUCAUUGACGUUACCCGCAGAAGAAGCACCGGCUUACUCCGUGCCAGCAGCCGCGGUAAUACGGAGGGUGCAAGCGUUAAUCGGAAUUACUGGGCGUAAAGCGCACGCAGGCGGUUUGUUAAGUCAGAUGUGAAAUCCCCGGGCUCAACCUGGAAACUGCAUCUGAUACUGGCAAGCUUGAGUCUCGUAGAGGGGGGUAGAAUUCCAGGUGUAGCGGUGAAAUGCGUAGAGAUCUGGAGGAAUACCGGUGGCGUAGGCGGCCCCCUGGACGAAGACUGACGCUCAGGUGCGAAAGCGUGGGGAGCAAACAGG